rnacentral:lncRNA from 1 species
GAGAGUGGUCAUACUAAGGUUAUGAUGUGAGUAAAUUUUGUGAGAGAACAACCUUCAAAAAGAGAAAAAAGAAGAGAGAAAACAAUUCCCGUUUUUCUCAAACCAGUCCCACUAAAACUUCGAUUCCCGAUUCGUUAACCGUUGGAUAUCGCUCAAAUUUGGAGGGCAGGUUCGCAACUCCAGAGGCUAUCUUUUGACCGUUCGGAUCGUCGAAACAAGGUCUGGUUCGUGAGAUAUUUAGUCCGCAAUACAGCAGGUGUUUUGGGUAUUUUCAUCUUCUUGUUCUUGUUUUGUAAGCUUUAGUGCUUUGUUGUUUAAUUGGUUGUUAGCACUUAUUUGUGCCUCACUUGGAGACUCUUUUGUACCCUUA